rfam:Lepisosteus oculatus linkage group LG14, whole genome shotgun sequence.
UGGAGGUGAUGAAAUAGAGAUUGGUGCCUGUGUGAAUGUUCUGAGUGGUGUAAUACUGGUAAAUAUAACGAUCAUUGUACUUUUUAAGUUAAAAACACUUGGUAAUGUUUCCUUAAUAGUUAUUGGGUGGGUGGAGGGAGGGAACAGGUGUGCGUGUGGAUGACUGUUGCAUCUAGGCUGGUGAAAAGGGGGCUCUGAAGAUUUCAGUAUCUCUGCUGACAUUGGAGUGCAUCUGAAGCCAGUCACAUUGAAUUUUAAAGGCUUGUUGUGAUCUGGCUGAUGAUUAGAGCCUUGAAAAUGCUCACCUUGCCAGCCUUGGCACCCUUUAGUCUCUAACAGGUACAUUGUGAUGGUGUUCCUGUAAUCUGAUCCAA